rnacentral:rRNA from 1 species
UACGAAGGGGGCUAGCGUUGCUCGGAAUCACUGGGCGUAAAGCGCACGUAGGCGGAUUGCUAAGUCAGGGGUGAAAUCCUGGAGCUCAACUCCAGAACUGCCUUUGAUACUGGCGACCUUGAGUCCGGGAGAGGUGGGUGGAACUGCGAGUGUAGAGGUGAAAUUCGUAGAUAUUCGCAAGAACACCAGUGGCGAAGGCGGUUAGCUGGGCAGUUGCUGACACUGAUGCGCGACAGCGUGGGGAGCAAACAGG